rnacentral:rRNA from 1 species
AUUUGAAAUCUGGCGCAAGCCCGAGUUGUAAUUUGUAGAGGAUGCUUCUGGGUAGCGGCCGGUCUAAGUUCCUUGGAACAGGACGUCAUAGAGGGUGAGAAUCCCGUAUGUGACUGGCUUGCACCCUCCACGUAGCUCCUUCGACGAGUCGAGUUGUUUGGGAAUGCAGCUCUAAAUGGGAGGUAAAUUUCUUCUAAAGCUAAAUACCGGCCAGAGACCGAUAGCGCACAAGUAGAGUGAUCGAAAGAUGAAAAGCACUUUGGAAAGAGAGUUAAAAAGCACGUGAAAUUGUUGAAAGGGAAGCGCCCGCAACCAGACUUUGCGGCAGUGUUCGGCCGGUCUUCUGACCGGUUUACUCGCUGUCGUGAGGCCAUCAUCGUCUGGGACCGCUGGAUAAGACCUUAGGAAUGUGGCUCCCCUCGGGGAGUGUUAUAGCCUCUGGUGAUGCAGCGCGUCUCGGGCGAGGUCCGCGCUUCGGCAAGGAUGAUGGCGUAAUGGUUGUCGGCGGCCCGUCUUGAAACACGGACCAAGGAGUCUAACAUCUAUGCGAGUGUUCGGGUGUCAAACCCCUACGCGUAAUGAAAGUGAACGGAGGUGGGAACUUUUUGUGCACCAUCGACCGAUCCUGAUGUCCUCGGAUGGAUUUGAGUAAGAGCAUAGCUGUUGGGACCCGAAAGAUGGUGAACUAUGCCUGAAUAGGGUGAAGCCAGAGGAAACUCUGGUGGAGGCUCGCAGCGGUUCUGACGUGCAAAUCGAUCGUCAAAUUUGGGUAUAGGGGCGAAAGACUAAUCGAACCAUCUAGUAGCUGGUUCCUGCCGAAGUUUCCCUCAGGAUAGCAGUAACGUUUUCAGUUUUAUGAGG